rnacentral:lncRNA from 1 species
GUCCCCAGCACCGCAGUCCCCCAGGUCCCGCAUCAGCACCGCUUCCGUGAAGACGGCGCAGCUGGGAGUCCGGCUACCCAGCCUGCCCGGCAGGAACUGCUUUGCAGGCAAGGCUGCGGCGGCUGCGCAGGAGGUCCCGGGGCUGCCCACUCACUGGUUGGCAUGGGCGUCUUGCCCGCGUGUCACACAGGGUCACUCGGCCGUGCAGGUGCAGAUGCUGGUUUCAUGCUGAGAACUUUACAUGGAUUGUUUCAUUUCAUCCUCACCGAACCCGUGAAGAAGACAAUACUUUUGCCCCCCACCACCCCUUUUUUAAAGAUGAGGAAACUGAGGCUCAAACUGAGGUUCAAAGAGCGUUGCCCAAGGUUCUGCAGGGAGCAGCCUGGCCCCAGCGCCCGCCCACACCCUUAAUCACUGGGUUCUAUAUCCUCCUGACAAGGGAGGAAUGACAGGCGAGGACAGGUUUGGCCGUGGUGUGUUUCAGAGCCUGGACUCUGGAGACUGAUGGUGUGUCCUGGUUGAAGUCCCCUAAACUCAGAGUCUUCUCUUGUUCUGUCAGCUGUACAGUGGGGGAAAUAAUACUUCAUAGGGUUGUUUGGAGGAAUAAAUAAGGUAAUAAAUGAUUCCCUGUGCUCUGUGAAGCCUUGUUACUAAAAUAUGACCUAGAAGUCAGGAGACCCAACUCCUUCCCAAGAACGUUGAGGACGAACUUGAAUUUACUGUCUCUGUGUUCCCAACACUUAGCAAGAUCUGCAACUUAUUGUGUGAACUGAGCCUCAGUUUCUCUAUAAAGUGGGAAUGAAAAUAUAACUAUCUCGGCCGGGCGCGGUGGCUCACGCCUGUAAUCCCAGCACUUUGGGAGGCUGAGGCGGGUGGAUCACCUGAGGUCAAAAGUUUGAGACCAGCCUGGCCAAUAUGGUGAAACCCCAUAUCUACUAAAAAUACAAAAAUUAGCCAGGUGUGAUGGCCGGUGCCUGUAGUCCCAGCUACUCCGGAGGCUGAGACAGGAGAAUUGCUUGAACCUGGGAGGCAGAGGUGGCAGUGAGCCGAGAUCGUGCCACUUCACUCCAGCCUGGGUGACAGAGCGAGACUCCAUCUCAAAAAAAAGAAGAAAAGAAAAUAUAACUAUCUCAUAGAGUGUGUUGUGAGGCUUAAAUGAGUUAAUAUAUGUGAAGUGAUUCAAACUGUGUCUGGCAUAGAGUCAAUGCUAUGUCAGUAUUAGAUAUUAUUAGCUACUAAAUAUAAUGAAUGUCCAAUAUAUAGCAUAUAUAUAGCACUCUGAAAUGUUGUGUCUUUGUUUUUUAGUUUUAUCAUUGUAGGCCCUCAGUAAUUGAGCAAAGAAUAAAAGAAAUGCAUGUUAUUUGUUGGCUGCAAGAUCUUGGGCAGGCUUUAAUCUCUGAGCCUUAAUUUACUUAUCUUCAAAAUGGGAAUGAGAGCAUUAUUCAAGAAACAUUCACCCAGCACUUACUUUCUUCCAGUGUUUGCAUGCCAGGGAUACCAAGAAGAGUGACAGAAUCUGUGCUCGAG